CCCGCACAAGCGGUGGAGCAUGUGGUUUAAUUCGAAGCAACGCGAAGAACCUUACCAGGCCUUGACAUGCUAGGAACCCGGGUGAAAGCCUGGGUGCCCCGCGAGGGAGCCCUAGCACAGGUGCUGCAUGGCCGUCGUCAGCUCGUGCCGUGAGGUGUUGGGUUAAGUCCCGCAACGAGCGCAACCCCCGCCGUUAGUUGCCAGCGGUUCGGCCGGGCACUCUAACGGGACUGCCCGCGAAAGCGGGAGGAAGGAGGGGACGACGUCUGGUCAGCAUGGCCCUUACGGCCUGGGCGACACACGUGCUACAAUGCCCACUACAAAGCGAGGCCACCCGGCAACGGGGAGCUAAUCGCAAAAAGGUGGGCCCAGUUCGGAUUGGGGUCUGCAACCCGACCCCAUGAAGCCGGAAUCGCUAGUAAUCGCGGAUCAGCACGCCGCGGUGAAUACGUUCCCGGGCCUU
rnacentral:rRNA from 1 species